CGAGUGUGAACUGGCCUUUCUGUAUCCUUGGCCUUUGCAAUGUGACCUUGCAGAUUCUACCAUCAAGAUCUCUUUGCAGUGGAAAUUUCUUCUUCCUGGAGUCCUCUUUCUGCCAUCAGCCACCUGGCGAAGGCCAAGCCUCAGCUCACGAGUGAGUGCCUACUCUCCCAUCCCCUGCGAUGGUGAUGUACGCACAGCCAGGCCUCUCAGGAGUUGGGUCAUUUUCUGAUUCUGAUGAUGGUGGUGCUGCUUUAAUCCUCAUGUGAUGAAUCCAUGGCUUUACCUCAGCUAACUUGACAGAUGAAUGUGUGGAGGCCCAUGGCUACCUAUGCCAGGUUGGGAUUCAGAAAGAAGCAGCGUCGCCAGGGUUCUGUGCAGAGCUAAGAGUUGCUUCCGUUAAAGAGCCUCGGGGCAUUUCAUUUGGAAUGUCGACUUCAAGGGUGGCUGAACUUGGCACCAAUCCAGUGACAUUUGAAAGUCUGGCUUUGUUUCCAUAUCUCUCCCUUGCGCUGAGUCACAGAUACAGAUGGCACAUUUGACGAUCAGGUGCGAGACAGCACAGGACAGCUCAAAAACGGACCGAAACAUACAAUUUGUUUAAAAGAAAUGAACACAGGAUCCUUUCUUUGAGCUCAGACCCUGCACGUGCCAAGGAAAAUGAUCUCCCCAGCCCCAUGCCUCACAUUGGAAAGGACUCAGAGGGCUGUGUUUGUUCACUGGCUUUGAUUCUGCGAAUGAAAUUUUCUUUUAAGUAAAGAAUAA